AGAAACCAAGAAAGUAUGAUAUUAAAACAAUAUCGCUAUAAUAUAUUAAAAUACAGAAAACAACCAAUAAAGCGCUAAUGAGAUCUUCAAGAAAUGACCUUUUAUAGAGUGCUGCAAGGAGGAGGAAACUAGCAUCACCCUGGUUCCCAUGACAAAAUGCCGAUGGGAUUUUCUUUUGGAUUAUUGCAGAAAAUAAACUCUGUGGCAAACAAAAGUUUAUGACACCAACGCGUUUCGUUUAGCAAGAUAGUCACAUAUAGUGCAGUUAGGCGAAAUAUACAACAGUCGCAUGAAUUCAACUUCACCACCGAGUAGAUAAGAUCACCAAGCUGCUCUCAAUUCUUAAUUAGGAGCCUGUGCAACAGGUGAUCUGAAUAACUCUGCAAUCAACUCAGGGGGAUCGUGACGUUCAGCUAAAAUGAAUUGGGAAAAGGGAAAUAACAACAAAUUCUCCGUUUACCGUGGAGGCAAUGCGAGAAAAACAACGUUUUAUUCAAGAAUUCAAGGAUAAUUCAGGAUUUGCUUUUUCUGUUGGUCCAUCCUUCAAGAGUCUCCUGGAGCUGAGUCACGUUGUGUCUAUCGAUCAGCCGGCCAGAC
rnacentral:lncRNA from 1 species